AACGAACGUUAGCGGCGCGCCUAACACAUGCAAGUCGCACGAGAAAGGGCUUCGGCCCCGGUAAAGUGGCGCACGGGUGAGUAACACGUGGGUAAUCUUCCCUCGAGCGGGGGAGUAACAUUCCGAAAGGAGUGCUAAUACCGCAUAAGACCACGACCUCGAAAGAGGUUGAGGUCAAAGCCGGCCUCUAUACAUAAGCUGGCACUUGAGGACGAGCCCGCGCCCCAUCAGCUAGUUGGCAGGGUAAUGGCCUACCAAGGCUAAGACGGGUAGCUGGUCUGAGAGGAUGAUCAGCCACACUGGAACUGAGACACGGUCCAGACUCCUACGGGAGGCAGCAGUGGGGAAUCUUGCGCAAUGGACGAAAGUCUGACGCAGCGACGCCGCGUGAGUGAUGAAGGCCUU
rnacentral:rRNA from 1 species